UACGAAGGGGGCUAGCGUUGCUCGGAAUCACUGGGCGUAAAGGGUGCGUAGGCGGGUCUUUAAGUCAGGGGUGAAAUCCUGGAGCUCAACUCCAGAACUGCCUUUGAUACUGAGGACCUUGAGUUCGGGAGGUGAGUGGAACUGCGAGUGUAGAGGUGAAAUUCGUAGAUAUUCGCAAGAACACCAGUGGCGAAGGCGGCUCACUGGCCCGAUACUGACGCUGAGGUGCGAAAGCGUGGGGAGCAAACAGG
rnacentral:rRNA from 1 species